rnacentral:rRNA from 1 species
GAUGAACGCUGGCGGCGUGCUUAACACAUGCAAGUCGAACGGAGCUUAGAAGGAAGCUUGCUUUCAUUUAAGCUUAGUGGCGGACGGGUGAGUAACGCGUGAGCAACCUGCCCUCGAGUGGGGAAUAACAUCGAGAAAUCGGUGCUAAUACCGCAUAAUGUCGAGAGACCGCAUGAUCUUUCGACCAAAGGAUUUAUUCGCUUGAGGAUGGGCUCGCGUCCGAUUAGUUAGUUGGUGAGGUAACGGCCCACCAAGACUUCGAUCGGUAGCCGAACUGAGAGGUUGAUCGGCCACAUUGGGACUGAGACACGGCCCAGACUCCUACGGGAGGCAGCAGUGGGGAAUAUUGGGCAAUGGGCGAAAGCCUGACCCAGCAACGCCGCGUGAAGGAUGAAGGUCUUCGGAUUGUAAACUUCUUUGAUUGGGGAAGAAUAAAAUGACUAC